GCUUACGGCCAUACCACCCUGAGAACGCCCGAUUUCGUCUGAUCUCGGAAGCUAAGCAGUGUCGGGCCUGGUUAGUACUUGGAUGGGAGACCGCCUGGGAAUACCAGGUGCUGUAAGCU
ensembl:rRNA 5S_rRNA 5S ribosomal RNA